UACGUAGGGUGCGAGCGUUAAUCGGAAUUACUGGGCGUAAAGCGUGCGCAGGCGGUUCGUUGUGUCGGCGGUGAAAGCCCCGGGCUCAACCUGGGGAAUGGCCGUUGAAACUGGCGAACUGGAGUGUGGCAGAGGGGGGUGGAAUUCCGGCGUGUAGCAGUGAAAUGCGUAGAGAUGCGGAGGAACACCGAUGGCGAAGGCAGCCCCCUGGGCUGACACUGACGCCUCAGGCACGAAAGCGUGGGGAGCAAACAGG
rnacentral:rRNA from 1 species